ensembl:lncRNA
AAUCAAGUAUAGGAACUAUGAAGAAACCAGGAGUCACCGCUCUGUUUGAAGCAGGAGUGUCCUAAGCUCUUGCUGGUUUGCAUGUUGCACAAAUUGGGGUUUCUGUGCAACCUUUUUUUUGCUAAAACCUGGACAGCGAGUCAGGUGUAGCAUAAGAGGAAAGAAUGGGUCACAGGUAACAGCUGAAGAGCAGGAUCUAAUCUCUCAGCAGAUCAACUCUAAGAACGAUAGCAUUAUUCAUCAACUCUGUGAUCUGUAUCACUAGGAGGGAGGAAUGCCAUAAAGAGCAAUAGAAACCGCAUAGCAGUUGACAUACCUUCCAGCAGAUCUCGCAUAUUUGUUGAGGGGCGGAAACAAAACGCAAGCGAACCACAGAGGAGGUGGAUGAGCCUCACCGGGCUCCCCCGUGACUUACUGGGAUGAACGGCCCCGGUUUAACAACGCCCCCGCCUCCAGGCAGGCCUCAGCCAAACAAAGGGCAUUCCCGCCCGGCCGGGCUGCGAGGCGCGUCCUCCCGCCCGCCACCGCCGUCCUGGCGAGCGCAAGCCGUGGCGAUCGCAGCCCGCCCGGUGCCCGUGACACCGGGCCGCGGGGGCUGCCGGUGCCCAGCCCCGUUUCCUCACGGCUGGGGRAGCAAUUCCUGGUGCUCGCUGCUAUUAGCAACGAGCUACUGCAGCCUCCGCCUCAGCCCGGUACCGAGCCGGCGCCAGCUCGGACCGGGCAGCAGCAAGGGGGAGGCCGUCUUUGCGCCCACCCCCCCCCGGCCGCCGUAGCCGCCCCUCCCGGCCGCCGUAGCCGGCUGGGCGGGGCCGGGCGGCGCACGGGGCCCGAGCACGAGGGCCGCCACGGGGCCCGCGAGGACGGGGCCCACGCUGCCCGCCCCUCGCCCGCCAGCCAAUCAAACGCCAGGAAAGCCCUGCAGGGCGGGGCCUGGAGGCGGGCGCUCCCAUUGGCUGAGCCGCGCGUCGCUCACGGCCUGCCCCACUCCGCCCCUCACCUCAGCGGCCGGUGGAGGGCCUGGGCUUUUCCCCUUCGCCGGUCCCGCGGGCCCGGCUGGCAGCGCAGCAAGAGGUCGCGGGGAGCCCCGCCGGGCCUGAGCCCSCUCAGCAGCCCCCGGGCCCCUUCUUCAUCGCCCGCCAGGCGGCCGCCGCGCUCCUGGGCCGCGCCGGGGGGGUGCGGUAGGGUGGGAGGGGGCAAAGAGGGGGCGGUGCGCACGCGCAGUGCGCCGCGAGCCUGGGCGGGGAACAGCGCGCAUGCGCAGGAAGGCGGGGCAGGACUGUCCGUUAUACGGGGGGAGGAGAGCGGGAGGAUGCGCGCUCGGGGCGGCGGGUGCCAGUGCGCAUGCGCGGCUGGGCCGCGCGGAGCCCAAGGCUCUGGCGCCCCCUGUGGGCCGCGCUGGGGCGUUAAUGGCGGCCUCUGCCCCCAAGGCAGCCCCGAGCAGGCCCCGGUGCCGGGCCCCUCGGCCCGGGGCGGCAGCUGGGGGGCCGAGCCCUGCCCGCCCUCUCAGCACACCACGGAGAGCCCGAUGCGCACCUGCUGCGUUGUGCCGCGUGAACAAAGCGGCGGCCGGCGUGCCCCUGCUGCAGACACGAGGGCUGAUGGGGCASAGGGCUGAGGCAGCAGAAGGAAGCCGUGCGGUGACGUUGGUCAGCCUGCUCAUGGGCAGUUUUCCAUGCUUAGCAGCCUAACGACUGACUUUCUUGAAGCGUCACAGCCACAGGGAGUUUUAUGCCGAAUUUGAGGGAUUUGAAAUGCCAGCUGAAGGGARCUCUUCCUGAACAGGAGGAAGCCUGGCUAUGUUUGAAAACUGAACAGCUUGGCARUGGAGGUUGUUUUCCUUGGGCCAACUAGCUGAAGGACCAGGAACAAACUGCAACAGGUAGGAUAGGAGGAAGUAAUGCAGGGCUUUGAAACUGCAAGAAAGAUGCCUAUUGUCUGAUAGGGAACACCUGUGGUGGGAGAGAGGCAGAAAUUUAUGUGCUUUUCCAAAUGCUGCCAGUUAGAUGCUCCAGCAAUCACAUAAUUUACAGCCAGUACCAGUAGCUGKGGUGCUCGUGGGAACAAGAUUGCUCUGUUUUGAAGUGCCUGCGUUACUGCAGUUCCUUUGGGAUCAGCUGGUUUUAGAAAAAACAUUUAAGCUGUCCUCAUGCCAAACAAAUACUUGCUGACUCAUGCCCAAAUGAUCUUGAAGACAAUAUUGAAAUAGUUAGGAA